UACGUAGGUGGCAAGCGUUAUUCGGAAUUAUUGGGCGUAAAGGGCGCGUAGGCGGCUUGGCAAGUGGAAGGUGAAAUCCCUCGGCUUAACCGAGGAACUGCCCUCCAAACUGCUUCGCUUGAGACCGGGAGAGGUGAGUGGAAUUCCCAGUGUAGCGGUGAAAUGCGUAGAUAUUGGGAGGAACACCAGUGGCGAAGGCGGCUCACUGGACCGGUACUGACGCUGAUGCGCGAAAGCGUGGGGAGCAAACGGG
rnacentral:rRNA from 1 species